rnacentral:sRNA from 1 species
AACAUAUUCUCCUAAUAUAAAUACUAUAAAGUUUCUUUUGACUUUUUACUCUUUUCUACUUCCUCUUUUUCAUGAAAACUCAUCCACCCACCCACCCACCCAUCCAACCAACAAACCAACUAUCGAUAAAUCCUUUCAUUCUCAUAUUAGAAAGGAAAAGAUAUAAUUAAAUAAACAAAAAAGCAACAAACAAAUAAACAUUUAUAUUUAUCAUAAAUCCACUAAUAAAUAUAAUAAAU